rnacentral:rRNA from 1 species
CCCUUAAAGAGAGAGUGACGGGCGAUAUGUGCACACCCCAGGGCCAACUUCAAUAGAGGAUUCUUAACUCUAUUUACUGACAAAUCCGCCUUCCUAGAAGAUUACACUUCUAUUCCGUAUAAAUAUCAUUUAUUGUAGCUCAUCGACUCUCAAUCAUAGACGGCACCUUGACCUGAAGUGAAAGAAUUAUCUUUAAAGAAAACUCCUAUUAGAGUAAUCUGACAACGGAGGUAUACCGGCUGAUUCAACAAGACUGAGAAAGAUAUAAUGGGGAACAUCAAUUAUGUGACAAGCUCCUCUGUUAGGUUAGGGUACCGCCAAAGUCUUUGGGUUUGAAGAACUUCUUUUACUACCCUGACAUAAAGUUAACUAGUAUAACAGGGUAUCUAAUCCUGGUUUAUAACCUAGCCUUUAUAGAGAUACAAGAAAUACACAGAGUUAAAAUGUUAAUUCACGAAUUCCACCCCUCAAUUAACCUAAUACUCCCUAAUAUACCUCUAACUAGCAUCUACAUUUAGUCGCCUGUUUCAUUUGGAUUCUAC